rnacentral:rRNA from 1 species
AUUGAACGCUGGCGGCAGGCUUAACACAUGCAAGUCGAGCGAGCGGCGGACGGGUGAGUAAUGUCUGGGAAACUGCCUGAUGGAGGGGGAUAACUACUGGAAACGGUAGCUAAUACCGCAUACCAUCAGAUGUUCCCAGAUGGGAUUAGCUAGUAGGUGGGGUAAUGGCUCACCUAGGCGACGAUCCCGAGCUGGUCUGAGAGGAUGACCAACCACACUGGAACGGAGACACGGUGCAGACUACUACGGGAGGCAGCAGGGGGGAAUAUUGCACAAUGGGCGCAAGCCUGAGGCAGCCAUGCCGCGUGUGUGAAGAAGGCCUUCGGGUGUGAAAGCACUUUCAGCGAGGAGGCGUUACUCGCAGAAGAAGCACCGGAUAACUCCGUGCCAGCCGCCGCGGUAAUUC